UUUUUUUUUUUUUUUUUUUUUACCCUCUUGCCCUCUGCACCCAAUUUCCUGUGACUAUGGCGCGAGAUUUCCGAGCUUCUGCCUGU
rnacentral:ribozyme from 13 species